rnacentral:rRNA from 1 species
AAGUCGGAAUCGCUAGUAAUCGCAGAUCAGCAUUGCUGCGGUGAAUACGUUCCCGGGCCUUGUACACCCGCCCGUCACACCAUGGGAGUUGGUUGCUCCAGAAGCAGGUAGUCUAACCGCAAGGGGGACGCUUGCCACGGAGUGGUCAAUGACUGGGGUGAAGUCGUAACAAGGUAGCCGUAUCGGAAGGUGCGG